AGAGUUUGAUCAUGGCUCAGGAUGAACGCGGGCGGCGUGCCUAACACAUGCAAGUCGAACGGGGUUAAGUGAAAUUUUCGGAUGGAUCUUAACUUAGUGGCGGACGGGUGAGUAACGCGUGGAUAACCUGCCUCACACAGGGGGAUAGCAGCUGGAAACGGCUGGUAAUACCGCAUAAGACCACGACCCCGCAUGGGGCUGUAGUAAAAGAUUAUCGGUGUGAGAUGGAUCCGCGUCUGAUUAGCCAGUUGGCGGGGUAACGGCCCACCAAAGCGACGAUCAGUAGCCGGCCUGAGAGGGUGAACGGCCACAUUGGGACUGAGACACGGCCCAAACUCCUACGGGAGGCAGCAGCGGGGAAUAUUGCACAAUGGGCGCAAGCCUGAUGCAGCAACGCCGCGUGAGUGAAGAAGUAUUUCGGUAUGUAAAGCUCUAUCAGCAGGGAAGAAAGGCUCUUCGGAGAGAUGACGGUACCUGACUAAGAAGCCCCGGCUAACUACGUGCCAGCAGCCGCGGUAAUACGUAGGGGGCAAGCGUUAUCCGGAUUUACUGGGUGUAAAGGGAGCGCAGACGGCAGUGCAAGUCUGAUGUGAAAGCCCGGGGCUCAACCCCGGAACUGCAUUGGAAACUGUACAGCUUGAGUGUCGGAGAGGUAAGCGGAAUUCCUAGUGUAGCGGUGAAAUGCGUAGAUAUUAGGAGGAACACCGGUGGCGAAGGCGGCUUACUGGACGAUUACUGACGUUGAGGCUCGAAAGCGUGGGGAGCAAACAGGAUUAGAUACCCUGGUAGUCCACGCUGUAAACGAUGAAUACUAGGUGUGGGUGUGCACUGCACAUCCGUGCCGCAGCUAACGCAAUAAGUAUUCCACCUGGGGAGUACGUUCGCAAGAAUGAAACUCAAAUGAAUUGACGG
rnacentral:rRNA from 1 species